GAAUCAACAAAUAAAAAGUGAUCAACUAUUAGUAUUAAGUAAUACGAGAGUUAUAUUUAUUUAAUACAUUACUCUGAGUGAUUCAUCAUCAUCGAAGCAUCUACACACACAUUCUAACUGCCGUAGCGGAUCGACUCGAACCAGGAACGAGACAAAACGUGAAUAAAGAACUGACAGGACGACAGAUGGUCUCCGUCUAUUGUCAGGUGGGUUCGUCGACUGUCCAGGGGCUUGGCGGACGAAUACACGUCCCUACAAGCGUAGCAGUCGAUAUUGGGAGUUUAAGGGCAAUAAUAAGAAU